AAGUCAUAACAAGGUUUCCGUAGGUGAACCUGCGGAAGGAUCAUUACGAGAACAUCGCCCUCACGGGUGACUCUCCAACCCUUUGUUAUUAUACCUUUGUUGCUUUGGCGAGCCGCUUGGCCACCGGCUCACGCUCGGUGAGUGCUGCGCCAGAGGACCCCAAAUUCUGCAAUAUUGAGUGUCGUCUGAGUACCUAUAUAAUAGUUAAA
rnacentral:misc_RNA from 1 species